CAAUGAUCCUUCCGCAGGUUGACCUAUAGACACCUUGUUACGACUUAACCUUCCUCUAAAUGAUAAGGUUUAGUGGACUUCUCGCGACGUCGCAGACGGUAAACCACCCACGUCACGGCAAUCCGAACACUUCACCGGAUCAUUCAAUCGGUAGGAGCGAUGGGCGGUGUGUACAAAGGGCAGGGACGUAGUCAACGCGAGCUGAUGACUUGCGCUUACUAGGAAUUCCUUGUUGAAGACCAACAAUUGCAAUGAUUUAUCCCCAUCACAAUGAAAUUUCAAAGAUUACCUGGGCCUGUCGGCCUAUGUAUAAACUCGUUGAAUACAUCAGUUUAGCGCGUGCGGCCCAAAACAUCUAAGGGCAUCAUAGACUUGUUAUUGCCUCAAACUUCCUUGGCCUAAACAGCCAUAGUCCCUCUAAGAAGCCGUCCGUGAAGGGAUGCCUCCACGUAGCUAGUUAGCAGGUUGAGGUCUCGUUCGUUAACGGAAUUAACCAGACAAAUCGCUCCACCAACUAAGAACGGCCAUGCACCACCACUCAUAGAAUCAAGAAAGAGCUCUCAAUCUGUCAAUCUUUACUAUGUCUGGACCUGGUAAGUUCCCCGUGUUGAGUCAAAUUAAGCCGCAGGCUCCACUCUUGGUGGUGCCCUUCCGUCAAUUCCUUUAAGUUUCAACCUUACGCCUAGACUCCCCUCGGAACCCAAAAACUUCGAUUUCUCAUAAGGUGCCAACGGAGUUCUAAUAGCAACAUUCGAUGAUCCCUGGUCGGCAUCAUUUAUGGUUGAGACUAGGACGGUAUCUGAUCGUCUUCGAGCCCCCAACUUUUGUUCUUGAUUAAUGAAAGCAUCCUUGUGAUAUGUUCAAAUUUACCCUGAACUACUCUCUCAAAUUAAGAAAUCAAUUGUAGUAUUUAAGGGUCAAAUCACUGGGAAUCGUAAUCACACGAUGGAAUUUUGACUUCGAAUUAAGCUAACCAAGAAUGUAUGAAUGCAAAAAAAAACAAAGUAAAUAAACUUGAAAGUGAAUUGUGAUUUAAGCUUUAAUUAGACAAAGAGCCAGGCUUUCAGGAAAUUCACAGGAAUAAAUAAAUUGCAGAAUUAUGCAACUGUCAGGGUUUUAAUGAAGAUUCGUU
rnacentral:rRNA from 1 species